GCCGGGGUAGCUCAGCUGGGAGAGCAACAGACUGAAGUACUGAAUAGCCGCUGCCUUCUGGAGGUCCCGUGUUCAAUCCACGGUCCUGGCA